AUGUCGCAAGACCAAAGAGGGGGACCUUCGGGCCUCUUGCCAUCGGAUGUGCCCAGAUGGGAUUAGCUUGUUGGUGGGGUAACGGCUCACCAAGGCGACGAUCCCUAGCUGGUCUGAGAGGAUGACCAGCCACACUGGAACUGAGACACGGUCCAGACUCCUACGGGAGGCAGCAGUGGGGAAUAUUGCACAAUGGGCGCAAGCCUGAUGCAGCCAUGCCGCGUGUAUGAAGAAGGCCUUCGGGUUGUAAAGUACUUUCAGCGGGGAGGAAGGGAGUAAAGUUAAUACCUUUGCUCAUUGACGUUACCCGCAGAAGAAGCACCGGCUAACUCCGUGCCAGCAGCCGCGGUAAUACGGAGGGUGCAAGCGUUAAUCGGAAUUACUGGGCGUAAAGCGCACGCAGGCGGUUUGUUAAGUCAGAUGUGAAUCCCCGGGCUCAACCUGGGAACUGCAUCUGAUACUGGCAAGCUUGAGUCUCGUAGAGGGGGGUAGAAUUCCAGGUGUAGCGGUGAAAUGCGUAGAGA
rnacentral:rRNA from 1 species